CUACGGGUGGCACCAGUGGGGAAUAUUGCACAAUGGGGGAAACCCUGAUGCAGCAACGCCGCGUGGAGGAUGACGCAUUUCGGUGUGUAAACUCCUUUUAUAUAGGAAGAUAAUGACGGUACUAUAUGAAUAAGCACCGGCUAACUCCGUGCCAGCAGCCGCGGUAAUACGGAGGGUGCAAGCGUUACUCGGAAUCACUGGGCGUAAAGCGCGCGCAGGCGGCCUUUUAAGUUGGAUGUGAAAGCCUAUGGCUUAACCAUAGAACUGCAUCCAAAACUAUCAGGCUAGAGUCUGGGAGGGGAAGAUGGAAUUAGUUGUGUAGGGGUAAAAUCCGUAGAGAUAACUAGGAAUACCAAAAGCGAAGGCGAUCUUCUGGAACAGUACUGACGCUAAGGCGUGAAAGCGUGGGGAGCAAACAGGAUUAGAUACCCGGGUAGUC
rnacentral:rRNA from 1 species